rnacentral:rRNA from 1 species
CGGGAACGGGGGGUGCUUGCUACCUGCCGGCGAGUGGCGAACGGGUGAGUAAUACAUCGGAACGUGCCCUGUAGUGGGGGAUAACUAGUCGAAAGACUAGCUAAUACCGCAUACGACCUGAGGGUGAAAGUGGGGGACCGCAAGGCCUCAUGCUAUAGGAGCGGCCGAUGUCUGAUUAGCUAGUUGGUGGGGUAAGGGCCCACCAAGGCGACGAUCAGUAGCUGGUCUGAGAGGACGAUCAGCCACACUGGGACUGAGACACGGCCCAGACUCCUACGGGAGGCAGCAGUGGGGAAUUUUGGACAAUGGGGGCAACCCUGAUCCAGCAAUGCCGCGUGUGUGAAGAAGGCCUUCGGGUUGUAAAGCACUUUUGUCCGGAAAGAAAUCGCACUGGUUAAUACCUGGUGUGGAUGACGGUACCGGAAGAAUAAGGACCGGCUAACUACGUGCCAGCAGCCGCGGUAAUACGUAGGGUCCAAGCGUUAAUCGGAAUUACUGGGCGUAAAGCGUGCGCAGGCGGUUGUGCAAGACCGAUGUGAAAUCCCCGGGCUUAACCUGGGAAUUGCAUUGGUGACUGCACGGCUAGAGUGUGUCAGAGGGAGGUAGAAUUCCACGUGUAGCAGUGAAAUGCGUAGAGAUGUGGAGGAAUACCGAUGGCGAAGGCAGCCUCCUGGGAUAACACUGACGCUCAUGCACGAAAGCGUGGGGAGCAAACAGGAUUAGAUACCCUGGUAGUCCACGCCCUAAACGAUGUCAACUAGUUGUUGGGGAUUCAUUUCCUUAGUAACGUAGCUAACGCGUGAAGUUGACCGCCUGGGGAGUACGGUCGCAAGAUUAAAACUCAAAGGAAUUGACGGGGACCCGCACAAGCGGUGGAUGAUGUGGAUUAAUUCGAUGCAACGCGAAAAACCUUACCUACCCUUGACAUGCCACUAACGAAGCAGAGAUGCAUUAGGUGCUCGAAAGAGAAAGUGGACACAGGUGCUGCAUGGCUGUCGUCAGCUCGUGUCGUGAGAUGUUGGGUUAAGUCCCGCAACGAGCGCAACCCUUGUCUCUAGUUGCUACGAAAGGGCACUCUAGAGAGACUGCCGGUGACAAACCGGAGGAAGGUGGGGAUGACGUCAAGUCCUCAUGGCCCUUAUGGGUAGGGCUUCACACGUCAUACAAUGGUGCAUACAGAGGGUUGCCAAGCCGCGAGGUGGAGCUAAUCCCAGAAAAUGCAUCGUAGUCCGGAUCGUAGUCUGCAACUCGACUACGUGAAGCUGGAAUCGCUAGUAAUCGCGGAUCAGCAUGCCGCCGAAUUCCC